rnacentral:lncRNA from 1 species
AGUACAGAGUAGAGAGUAGUACUGUAUCUAUUUAAGUUCAGCUUAUCUGUCAUGCUCUAGCACAAAGUCAUGGUCGGCUCUUUUGAGUUCGUCACUGAAAUGAAAGGAAAAAUGAAAAGUCAUUUUCGUCAUAAGUACUAGCUAUCAGGCUUUCAGUAGAUUUUUUUUUUAAUACAAAGCCAAUGUUAACUAGAAGCUCAGAGAAAUGUCUUUUUUAGAAAGUCAAAAGUGAUGAAAGCGAAGUGUUUUAUGUGAAAGUACUGAUGCAAAUGACAGAUUUAGGCCUCACAUGAUUUUAGAGCUGCAGAAGAUAGGAAUCCUUGGCAGCAUCUGUAGUACCUUCUGUUCGGGUUUUGUUUGUGAUGUCAAGACCCACCCAAGGAUAGUUCCCAUGUGCUGCUCCUCCCCAGAACUAGCAAAAUGCCCCACCUCCACUGACACGAACGCCUCUUGUAUCCUGGAAAAGAAACAUGCAGUAGUUUUUUCUUAAUGAUAUGAGGAAAAUUAAAGGAGAAUAUUACAGACAGUGCUUAACACUAGUUCAAACUGCUCCAGUUAACUGAUAAAAACCUGCUGAAACCUCAUCUUUAUACCUGGAUGAAUCUCCUUUUAAUUAGCUAGCGCGGUAUUGAACAAAUCUGUUUUAUCAACAUGAUAAUGCUACUAGCUAGGACUAGUAGAUACGGAGUAUACUUGUUGAAGCCUCAGCAGUAAACAUCUUCAGAUACUGUCGAGUGUUGAGUAGUUAAAGACUCAACAGUAGCAGUAAAAUCACAGCAGAAGGCAGAAAAAAAAAAUCCUGAACAUGACGAAACAGCUAC